rnacentral:rRNA from 1 species
GAUGAACGCUGGCGGCGUGCCUAAUACAUGCAAGUCGAGCGAACAGACGAGAGUGCUUGCACUCUCUGACGUUAGCGGCGGACGGGUGAGUAACACGUGGGUAACCUACCUAUAAGACUGGGAUAACUUCGGGAAACCGGAGCUAAUACCGGAUAAUAUUUAGCUUCGCAUGAAGCAAUAGUGAAAGACGGUUCUGCUGUCACUUAUAGAUGGACCCGCGGUGUAUUAGCUGGUUGGUGAGGUAACGGCUCACCAAGGCAACGAUAUAUAGCCGACCUGAGAGGGUGAUCGGCCACACUGGGACUGAGACACGGCCCAGACUCCUACGGGAGGCAGCAGUAGGGAAUCUUCCGCAGCGGACGAAAGUCUGACGGAGCAAUGCCGCGUGAGUGAAGAAGGUUUUCGGAUCGUAAAACUCUGUUGUAAGGGAAGAACAAGUACGUUAGUAACUGAACGUACCUUGACGGUACCUUACCAGAAAGCCACGGCUAACUACGU